UCCAUUUGCUUCUCUCCCAACUCACCAUAGCAGAUUACAUCCAGACCAGGUUACCGGCCACCGGUGCUACCGACCUUCUGCCAUCUUCAUCUUCGCAUAUCUGCUUCGAUUUCAAACCAAGUGAACUUAUGAGCCAGUGUAGGGUAUGAUUUAGUUGGAUUUUGGUCGGCUUCUUUUCAUCGAUGUUCUCAUGUACAUGUGCCGAUUUGCUGCUGAUUAAUUGAUUGAAUCGGCUGUGACCCGGUUUAGGGUUCCUACAAAUGCUGACUGAAAAGAUACCCUCUUUAGCUGGGAUCACCAAGAAGCACAAUCAAAGUUCAUGUGGAAUAGCACAAGAUAUUUUAAUAAAAAACCUAAUACAAAAGAUGUAUCAGUCAACAUCACUAAGUUGAUAGCAAGAUGGCAUGUGUUGGCAGGUAUAGUGUUAAUGCCAUUAUCAAUGAAGCAACAAAACCCACUGAGGUAACUUUCUUCAGUGAAGGCAUGGCAGUCCUCUGCCCUCCUCAAGACAAGCUGCGAAGACCUUAUAACAAAGCACAGUUGCACCAAUCCUAAACGCUCCCACAACAAAUGGCGUCAAUGAUAGGCGAGGCAAGGCUGAUGCACGUCUCGACAAGGAAGGAAGGGCAUGUGGUAGUAACAAACGUGACAAAAGCUGAGACAGUAAGCGAAUACUAUCCAACCUCUCAAGAACAUAGUGUCUUGGCAAUCCCUCCCACAACACCUAACCCAAAAAUCAACCAGAAAAAACAUCCGCCAAUUGGGUCACCAGGUGCAUCACUUAAUACCAUUUAACAACAAACCUAUCUCUUAAAUGUGGUUGUAUGUCGUGUCUUACUUAAUUACCUUAACGUAAGCAACUUGACUCAAUUGGUACAUCAGUUGGCAUCUUAGCUAUUGGGAUUAGAGGUACUAUUUUUAGACUUGCUUUCAACUGUUGUAAUUCAUAAUUGUAUUUUCAAGACAUUACACUUUGGUUAAUGUUAGGAAAUAAGCUUUUCUUUAACUAAUGUCCUUUUUUUUCCCCAUAGCACUGCAGAGUCAAGCCGCGUUGCAAAGAAGGCACGUGAAGAAGAAUGAUCACUUAGAAGACUGCUUUUUGGAUGGCUGCACCCUGGAACACUGUGUAGCCCGCAUCACCUACAUCCAUAAUCUUAUAAAAACGCACAUAGGAAGCACCUUAUGUACAAGUUAUCUACCUAACACACUUGGUGUUAGUAAGAUAAGUUGUACACAAAUCAAUACAAAAACAUUUUGUAGGUUGACUAGGCGAGGUAAAUGAAACAAAAAAAGUUCAUUUAACACACA